UACGGAGGGUGCAAGCGUUAUCCGGAUUUAUUGGGUUUAAAGGGUCCGUAGGCGGGCUGAUAAGUCAGUGGUGAAAUCUCAUAGCUUAACUAUGAAACUGCCAUUGAUACUGUUGGUCUUGAGUAUAGUUGAGGUAGCUGGAAUAAGUAGUGUAGCGGUGAAAUGCAUAGAUAUUACUUAGAACACCAAUUGCGAAGGCAGGUUACCAAGUUAUAACUGACGCUGAGGGACGAAAGCGUGGGGAGCGAACGGG
rnacentral:rRNA from 1 species